rnacentral:rRNA from 1 species
UACGAAGGGGGCUAGCGUUGCUCGGAAUCACUGGGCGUAAAGGGCGCGUAGGCGGCCAUUCAAGUCGGGGGUGAAAGCCCAGGGCUCAACCCUGGAAUUGCCUUCGAUACUGUUUGGCUAGAGACCGGAAGAGGUAAGUGGAACUGCGAGUGUAGAGGUGAAAUUCGUAGAUAUUAGGAAGAACACCAGUGGCGAAGGCGGCUCACUGGCCCGGUACUGACGCUCAGGUGCGAAAGCGUGGGGAGCAAACAGG